rnacentral:lncRNA from 1 species
CUAAUCCACACGUUUUCUUCAAGCCUCUUCUGCCUGGCAGAGUCUCUAAAGUUCUCCUACGAAUUUGUCAACAUUUGUCAUUUUAGUUCACACAGCCAGGGCAUCUAGAGCAGAUUCUAGUUUUUGCAGUUUUGCUAAAGCCCAACGCCCAUUUGUGCUGGUAGCUGUGGUAGGGAUGAUGCAGAAGGGAACAUGUUCAUCCUCACAAAAUGCUCCCCAAGGCAGCAGCCCAGAGUCUAGCACUAGGUCUGUGCUUUGAACUCAUCUAAGACAGAGCAUGCCCAAAGAGUCAUAAUUUCAGGGUGACAAGAUUGGAGGUCCGUGCUCUAUUUUCCAGCUAAAUAAGGGAGUGAGAAGUUGAGAGCUGAUACCUUCCCCUCCUCUCCCUCACUUGCAAGCACUUUGCAAAUUCUUGCUAAGGUCUCAGGCUCCAGAGGGGCCCAGGAAGGUCUUAGAACCCAGGGUAGAGAGCUGGGUUUUCCUAUGGUAGCCAGCAAGGUCUCAAGGAAGAAGGGAGGGAUGGGAGUGGCCCAAUCCUUAAUAACGUUCCUGCGGAUCUUUGUUUUCCUAAAGACUGGCUUGCGGACCGCAAGUAUGACUCCACUAGCAGCGAUGACGACGACGACAAUCCAGGUCACCCUAUCACGGUCACCGCAAUGGUACACUCAGAGGCGUUUUUCUCGGACUCAGAAGAGUCAGACGUAGAGAAUGGCAAUAUGCAUCUGCCUACACUCUUUGAGGAGGAGGAGUCUGUUGACAUCAACCUUCUUUUCCGAGAAUGCACAGAAGGAAUCAACGAUGUAAAAAGAGAGGAAGAAGAGGAAGAAGACAUGAAAUUCAGCGUUCAUGAGGAGCUUGCUGGAGUGCCUACAACUGUGUGUGAAUAUGGAGGCGGAGAUAGGAAUCUGAUGGGGAACAUGAGCACAGAUCCUACAACUGACUGCUACAAGGAUGCUGAGCUGGAGGCCUCAGCCUGAAGCUGAGUAGAACUGGAGAUCUUAUGGCGCUUGGAGACACUUAUGUGCUCACCCUUCUACUCCAUUGUGAAUGAACAACUAAGUGGCACUUUAGUUUUUAAUCCAAAGACUUAGAUGAAGUCUUAGAAAUAGGUUUUACUUUUAAUUUUAUGUCAUAUUAAACAGUUUUUGUACCUUUACUACUUACAUUUCUUAUUCUUUAUGUAAUAAGUAAAGAAAUAUACUGAUAAGUACCCUAAACAAUAUUAGAGCUUAUAUGAAUUAUAAUAUCUGGUCUCUGUAUUGGCUCCCACCAAGGUGAUACACUCACUCAUGGAAUCUUCAUU